rnacentral:rRNA from 1 species
UACGUAGGGGGCAAGCGUUGUCCGGAAUCAUUGGGCGUAAAGCGCGCGUAGGCGGCCCGGUAAGUCCGCUGUGAAAGUCGGGGGCUCAACCCUCGGAUGCCGGUGGAUACUGUCGGGCUUGAGUGCGGAGGAGGCGAGUGGAAUUCCUGGUGUAGUGGUGAAAUGCGCAGAUAUCAGGAGGAACACCAAUUGCGAAGGCAGCUCGCUGGGACGUUACUGACGCUGAUGCGCGAAAGCGUGGGGAGCAAACAGG